AAGGAAAUGAAAGCUCAGGAAGAUUCAGUGAUUAAGAUCACAUUACUCGCCUGAGUGCCCAAAAGACGCCCUCAAGGACAGGGAAGCAGCUGCGAUUCACUCAGCGAUCACCAGCGCCCAGAAUUCAGGGCCGCUCAAGCGGAGCAGCAACACGUGGCCCAGCGAAAGGAGCUGCGUCCCGUGCAGCACAGCAACAAGAAACUGGCCUAGGAAGACGCUGGAGCGUCUUUCUUUCGCACGUUAC
rnacentral:lncRNA from 1 species